UCCCUGGUGGUCCAGUGGCUAAGACUCCACAUUCUCAAUGCAGGGGCCACAGGUUCGAUUCCUGGUUGGGGAA
rnacentral:tRNA from 1 species